rnacentral:rRNA from 1 species
CCUAUGGGCGGCUGCAGUGGGGGAUAUUGCACAAUGGGGGAAACCCUGAUGCAGCGACGCCGCGUGGGUGAAGAAGCGCCUCGGCGCGUAAAGCCCUGUCAGCAGGGAAGAAAAUGACGGCACCUGAAGAAGAAGCCCCGGCCAACUACGUGCCAGCAGCCGGGGUAAUACGCAGGGGGCAAGCGUUAUCCGGAUUUACUGGGGGUAAAGGGGGCGCAGACGGUGAUGCAAGCCAGGCGUGAAAGCCCGGGGCCCAACCCCGGGACUGCUCUUGGAACUGCGUGGCUAGAGUGCAGGAGGGGCAGGCGGAAUUCCUGGUGUAGCGGUGAAAUGCGUAGAUAUCAGGAAGAACACCGGUGGCGAAGGCAGCCUGCUGGACUGCAACUGACGUUGAGGCCCGAAAGCGUGGGGAGCAAACAGGAUUAGAUACCCGAGUAGUC